CACGAACGCUGGCGGCGUGCCUAAUACAUGCAAGUCGAGCGGAAGUUGGAGAGCUUGCUCUUCAACUUUAGCGGCGGACGGGUGAGUAACACGUGGGCAACCUGCCCUGCAGAUCGGGAUAACUCCGGGAAACCGGUGCUAAUACCGAAUCGUUUUCGCCACCUCCUGGUGGCGUACGGAAAGACGGUUUCGGCUGUCACUGCAGGAUGGGCCCGCGGCGGAUUAGCUAGUUGGGGGGGUAACGGCCCACCAAGGCGACGAUGCGUAGCCGACCUGAGAGGGUGAUCGGCCACACUGGGACUGAGACACGGCCCAGACUCCUACGGGAGGCAGCAGUAGGGAAUCUUCCGCAAUGGACGAAAGUCUGACGGAGCAACGCCGCGUGAGUGACGAAGGUUUUCGGAUCGUAAAACUCUGUUGUGAGGGAAGAACAAGUACCAACUAACUACUGGUACCUUGACGGUACCUCACCAGAAAGCCACGGCUAACUACGUGCCAGCAGCCGCGGUAACAC
rnacentral:rRNA from 1 species